AAGUCAAUGUAAAGCAAAUGAAGAAGCAGACAUUAGCUUGGUGUCUACUGCUGCAGUGCCUGCACACCACCAUCUUCAACAUGUUUACCUGCACAGUGCCCUUGAGGUUCCUUGUACGACUCCCUCUGCUAUGAUGCUGUCCCUGUUUGUGUGCACUUACUGGAAGUGAUAGAGCAGUCAAGUACAGGAGAAAUGAAAUCCUGAUAUUAUAAAUGUCAUAGUAAAUGGCAUUUCAUGUUUAAGAGGAUGUCCAGCACUACCGUCAAUAACAAUUGCAGAUGUGUAGCUACUGGCAAAAAUAAGUGCAAGUGCAGCAAUGGAGAAAAAGUAAAAGUUGAAUCUGAUUUCUUUUUU